rnacentral:rRNA from 1 species
CUAGCUGGUGGGGUAACGGCCUACCAGGGCGACGAUCGGUAGCUGGUCUGAGAGGACGAUCAGCCACACUGGGAUUGAGAACGGCCCAGACUCCUACGGGGGGCAGCAGUGAGGAAUUUUCGGCAAUGGUCGCAAGACUGACCGAGCAACGCCGCGUGCAGGAAGACGCUUUUCGGAGUGUAAACUGCUUUUCUUGGGGAAGAGCAAGGACGGUACCCGAGGAAGAAGCCCCGGCUAACUACGUGCCAGCAGCCGCGGUAAGACGUAGGGGGCGAGCGUUGUCCGGAGUUACUGGGCGUAAAGGGCCCGCAGGCGGUCUGGCGCGUUGGGGGUGACAGUCGGCGGCUUAACUGCCGAAGUGCUUCCAAGACGGCUGGACUGGAGGACCUCAGAGGGACACGGAAUUCCGGGUGGAGCGGUGAAAUGCGUAGAGAUCCGGAGGAACACCAAAGGCGAAGGCAGUGUCCUGGGAGGCACCUGACGCUCGUGGGCGAAGGCCAGGGGAGCGAACGGGAUUAGAUACCCCGGUAGUCCUGGCGGUAAACGAUGACCACUAGGUGUGCGGCGUAUCGACCCGCUGCGUGCCGACGCGAACGCAAUAAGUGGUCCGCCUGGGGAGUACGGUCGCAAGAUUAAAACUCAAAGGAAUUGACG